rnacentral:tRNA from 1 species
CGCGGGGUGGAGCAGCCCGGUAGCUCGUCAGGCUCAUAACCUGAAGGCCGUUGGUUCAAAUCCAACCCCCGCAA